rnacentral:rRNA from 1 species
GGGACCUACGGGGGGCAGCAGUGGGGAAUAUUGCACGAUGGGGGAAACCCUGAUGCAGCGACGCCGCGUGAGUGAAGAAGUAUCUCGGUACGUAAAGCUCUAUCAGCAGGGAAGAAAAAAAGUCUUUGGCUUUGGACGGUACCUGACUAAGAAGCCCCGGCUAACUACGUGCCAGCAGCCGCGGUAAUACGUAGGGGGCGAGCGUUAUCCGGAUUUACUGGGUGUAAAGGGAGCGUAGACGGCAGC